rnacentral:lncRNA from 1 species
CCCACAGUGAAAGUACCCAUCUCUCUAUUUGCAAGGUAUCCCAUCUUCUGCACUGGCUCCUUUAAGAGCCUGACUCUGUCUGACUGCUUAUAAUAUUUCUAAUAUUUCUAUCUACUCAGUGGCCUACAACAGUUGCUUUAUAAUAGCUAUGAACUAAAAGAUGACCAUUGCAUUAGUUAUUUUAAAAUACUAUGUUAAAAAUUCAUUUAGAAUAGAAAUUGUAGAGAGAUCCCAUAUUUAUCUGAAUAUAUGACAUUGUGGAGAAAUGCCAGAGAACAAAGCAAGCAGAGGGAUUUCUGUGGACCUAUCGAAGACUUACCCAAGUCCUCCCAACACAGAGACUUGUACAGACUUGUAAAUAACAAGACAUCAACGUACUGCACAUUCUUAAGUCCCAAACUGAUAGUCCAUCCAAAGCUGCCUGCUCCAGCUUGGACAGCCAAUGAACACAGACCAAUGAGGACUACAUCAUCAAC